AUACAUGCAAGUCGAGCGGACAGAUGGGAGCUUGCUCCCUGAUGUUAGCGGCGGACGGGUGAGUAACACGUGGGUAACCUGCCUGUAAGACUGGGAUAACUCCGGGAAACCGGGGCUAAUACCGGAUGCUUGUUUGAACCGCAUGGUUCAGACAUAAAAGGUGGCUUCGGCUACCACUUACAGAUGGACCCGCGGCGCAUUAGCUAGUUGGUGAGGUAACGGCUCACCAAGGCGACGAUGCGUAGCCGACCUGAGAGGGUGAUCGGCCACACUGGGACUGAGACACGGCCCAGACUCCUACGGGAGGCAGCAGUAGGGAAUCUUCCGCAAUGGACGAAAGUCUGACGGAGCAACGCCGCGUGAGUGAUGAAGGUUUUCGGAUCGUAAAGCUCUGUUGUUAGGGAAGAACAAGUGCCGUUCAAAUAGGGCGGCACCUUGACGGUACCUAACCAGAAAGCCACGGCUAACUACGUGCCAGCAGCCGCGGUAAUACGUAGGUGGCAAGCGUUGUCCGGAAUUAUUGGGCGUAAAGGGCUCGCAGGCGGUUUCUUAAGUCUGAUGUGAAAGCCCCCGGCUCAACCGGGGAGGGUCAUUGGAAACUGGGGAACUUGAGUGCAGAAGAGGAGAGUGGAAUUCCACGUGUAGCGGUGAAAUGCGUAGAGAUGUGGAGGAACACCAGUGGCGAAAGCGACUCUCUGGUCUGUAACUGACGCUGAGGAGCGAAAGCGUGGGGAGCGAACAGGAUUAGAUACCCUGGUAGUCCACGCCGUAAACGAUGAGUGCUAAGUGUUAGGGGGUU
rnacentral:rRNA from 1 species